GUCGAGCGGAACGAUGGUAGCUUGCUACCAGGCGUCGAGCGGCGGACGGGUGAGUAAUGCUUAGGAAUCUGCCCAGUAGUGGGGGAUAGCCCGGGGAAACCCGGAUUAAUACCGCAUACGCCCUUUUGGGGAAAGCAGGGGAUCUUCGGACCUUGCGCUAUUGGAUGAGCCUAAGUCGGAUUAGCUAGUUGGUGGGGUAAAGGCUCACCAAGGCGACGAUCCGUAGCUGGUCUGAGAGGAUGAUCAGCCACAUCGGGACUGAGACACGGCCCGAACUCCUACGGGAGGCAGCAGUGGGGAAUAUUGGACAAUGGGGGCAACCCUGAUCCAGCCAUGCCGCGUGUGUGAAGAAGGCUUUCGGGUUGUAAAGCACUUUCAGUGAGGAGGAAGGCCUUAAGAUUAAUACUCUUAAGGAUUGACGUCACUCACAGAAGAAGCACCGGCUAACUCCGUGCCAGCAGCCGCGGUAAUACGGAGGGUGCAAGCGUUAAUCGGAAUUACUGGGCGUAAAGCGCGCGUAGGUGGUUGAGUAAGCGAGAUGUGAAAGCCCCGGGCUUAACCUGGGAACGGCAUUUCGAACUGCUCGACUA
rnacentral:rRNA from 1 species